rnacentral:rRNA from 1 species
AUUGAACGCUGGCGGCAGGCCUAACACAUGCACGUCUAACGAGUGGCGGACGGGUGAGUACUGUCUGGGAAACUGCCUGAUGGAGGGGGAUAACUACUGGAAACGGUAGCUAAUACCGCAUACCAUCAGAUGUGCCCCGAUGUGAUUAGCUAGUUGGUGGGGUAACGGCUCAACAAGGCGACGAUCCCUAGCUGUGCUGAGAGGAUGACCAGCCACACUGGAACUGAGACACGGUCCAGACGCCUACGGGAGGCAGAAGUGGGGAAUAUUGCACAAUGGGCGAAAGCCUGAUGCAGCCAUUCCGCGUGUAUGAAGAAGGCCUUCGGGUUGUAAAGUACUUUCAGCGGGGAGGCGUUACCCGCAGAAGAAGCACUGGCUAACUCCGUGCCAGCAGCCGCGGUAAUUC